CAGAUCGUGCUAGUAUUAAAUUCCGGUGUGCGGUGUGAUAAAAGACAAUAUCGUUGAUCGUUGAAAUUAGUGUAGUGUGUCGUUUGAAUAAUAGUGUUGCAAAAAUAAAAUGGCAAAUGUUGAAGACGAACAACUGUCAAGUGAAGAAAGUUUAACGCUGAGAGAAUUGAGGAGUAAGUUAGCACAGAUGAAUUUGCCAAUAUCUAGUACGAGGUCAGUGUUGAUUGCCAGGCAAUCCAUCCACGAUACUACACUAUACUACAUUCCUACAUAUAUAAUAUAUAAAAAUAUAUAUACAUAUAUAUAUAUAUUUACUUUAUACGUACGUACUGCGCCCCGGAAGCAAGAAAACCAGAAAAAAGUAACGAUGAAUAAUAUAUAAAUAAAUAAUUUACACACGCAUAUAUAUACAAAUAUAUAUAUAUGUAUGCAUAUACAUGUAUAUAUAUGGGUAUGGAUAUGCAUAUAUAUACAUACAUACAUAUAUAUAUGUAAGAACAGAAAAAGAAGAAAAUGAUAUACAGAGAGCGCGAGUGGCUGCGCCGACAGGGGGGUAUUGUCGCACUUCAGAUCAUAAUACGAUACGGCCCUGAUGUCACGGCCACACAAAGGCCGGUCUCUCUCGGCUUUUUUCUUUUUCGAACACCAAAUCUUUUAUAGGUUCUACGCUUAAGAAAUCGACGAGAUUCUCCUAUCGCGCGGGAAGGGGGAUUUUUUUGUAAGCACGUGGUAUGUAAGAUGUUUAGCGACAUUUUUGGGGUGGGCUUGUCGUGUUAGUUAACAAAAUCGUUCUCUGAGAAGAAAAAGCGAGCGAGCCGAGUGCCGCGCAUGGCGAGUUGCGCGCGCGCUAGAAUCUAUUGUAAGGGGGCAGGCGAGUGCGGCGAUUGGCGCGCACGCGCGGGAACGAUCGGUCAGCUGGAGGAAAGGCGCACGCGCAUGCGCGUGAUACGCCACCGUCGCUGUCGCGGGAAACUUUUCUUCGAGGGCCGAUUUUUAAGUUCGAUUCGUCUCUGGCACGACACCAGCCAGGUUUUUCACGAUCGAUAAACGAUGCGGCGAUGAAAGUUCCUUCUCGAUUGCUGGCGCGUUAGCCGUUUGUUGUUUGUUGUUGUUUUCUUAUUGACGAUCGGCGCAUCGAAAGCGGAGGCAGAGGUAAAGAGAGAGCCUGAGACGAAUCAAGGUUGGCGCGGGUCGCUUAUUUCUAUAUCUCGGCUAUUAGGCUCGCGGAAUUCGCGUUAUCCUCGGGCCGAUCGGUAACGCGCGGGCGCGCAUGCGCGCACACGAACGCGCCUCGUGACGCGCACACGUAAACUCGCGCCAUGCCGGCUGCCGUACGAAACGAUGUUUCGAACAUUGUCCAAAGACCGGGCAGCUUUAUUUUUUUUGUGGUAAACUAGCGCUGCGCCGAUCGACGAUACUAAAGAGAGUUAGCUCGGGAGAGUUCACGAUUCGCGCAUAUAUUGCUCUAUAUAUAUAUAUAUUAUAAAUAUUGAUAAUGGGAGAUUUAAUGGAAUUACAUAUUAUAUAUAUAUAUACAUUAUAUAUAUAUAUAUAUAUAAAGUGGGAGCAAACGUGGUGCCAAUUCCUCCCGUAGUUGCUGCUGCCUAGCGGCCGAUACAUGCCGCUCGACAGCCGGAAAAAAGAAUUAUGAUUAAUCGAUUAAUUAAUUAAUUAUUAAUUAUUAAUGCGAAAUUACUGGAAGUAAUUCAUUCGAUACGCAGGGUGAGUUGUAUAGUUGUUGAAGAGUUUAUAGUUGGACUUCAUAUUAGAGUGUAAUCGUGUGUUUCAUCGGCGUUUCAUCGGGAAUCGUUGGCAAUGUAUUACGCCCACGUAUGUACGUGCUGGUCCAGUUCGCGGGGUUUCACCUCUGCGGGAUGGAAUUUACGGGGGAUUCUCGGGGAGUAUUUGGCACAUGGAUACACUUCUACACUCUCACACAUAGGUACAGUCAGGAAACACGGACACAUCAGACGUACAGCGACGGGGACAAAGACACGGAACACGCAGCCACACGACAUCCUCGUGUACUUCCGGGAUCACCGGAAGUACGGCGACACGCAAUAUUAAUCGACUAACAACGAAAUCUUUUAGUCCUAUGCAUCGUUUCUAGCGGUCUUUUGUUUUUGUUAGAGAUAAGCAGAACAGGAAAUGACGAUGAUAAUGAAGACACAAAAAGAAAGAAAGAAAAG